ensembl:ncRNA lncRNA:CR43952 long non-coding RNA:CR43952
ACAUUCUGGCCAAUGUUGGGGGCUAAGACUGAAAUCGUGCAAUUGAGGACCCGGGAAAAUGGGGGGUUCGAAAGCAAUUAAGGAAACUGCAGUAUGCCAAAGGGAGACGAAGGCCUAGCCUAAGCAACAUAAUCGCCAAAACGUGCGGCAAUUACACGGUAGCUGGAGGAAUUGAAUGCCAAACAUCUGCUGCUCCUCCCGUCUCCGUAUAAUUUGCACUCGGCCCAAGCAAAUUCAAUUAACAAACGAUGCGGACACGUGCCGCAUCCAAGUCGAUGACGCAAUGUCGAUGCCACAAUCGCUGACUAUAAAAACACCAGCAAAUACAACAACAAGCCCAGUACUUCACGUGAAGAGCCCACUCAGACCUGAACUUGGACUAACUCAUUACGAGGAACAUCAGCUAUAUAUAUAAUAUAUGUAAAU